rnacentral:rRNA from 1 species
CCUACGGGAGGCAGCAGUGGGGAAUAUUGCACAAUGGGGGAAACCCUGAUGCAGCGACGCCGCGUGAGGGAAGAAGGAAUUCGUUAUGUAAAGCUCUAUCAGCAGGGAAGAAUAUGACGGUACCUGAGUAAGAAGCCACGGCUAACUACGUGCCAGCAGCCGCGGUAAUACGUAGGUGGCAAGCGUUAUCCGGAUUUACUGGGCGUAAAGGGCGUGCAGGCGGGAUAACAAGUCAGAUGUGAAAUCCUGUAGCUUAACCGCAGAACUGCAUUUGAAACUGUUAUUCUUGAGUGUCGGAGAGGUAAGCGGAAUUCCUGGUGUAGCGGUGAAAUGCGUAGAUAUAAGGAAGAAUACCAGUUGCGAAGGCGAAUUGCUGGAACGCAACUGACGCUGAUGCGCGAAAGCGUGGGGAGCAAACAGGAUUAGAUACCCCAGUAGUC